UACGGAGGGUGCAAGCGUUAUCCGGAAUCACUGGGUUUAAAGGGUGCGUAGGAGGUGGCGUAAGUCAGUUGUGAAAUUCCACGGCUUAACCGGCGGGGGUGCGAUUGAUUCUGCGUCACUUGAAUCAGGUUGAGGUAGGCGGAAUGUGACAUGUAGCGGUGAAAUGCAUAGAUAUGUCAUAGAACACCAAUUGCGAAGGCAGCUUGCUGGACCUGGAUUGACGCUGAGGCACGAAAGCGUGGGGAGCAAACAGG
rnacentral:rRNA from 1 species